AUUAAAUGAGAGUUUGAUCCUGGCUCAGGACGAACGCUGGCGGCGUGCCUAAUACAUGCAAGUAGAACGCUGAAGACUUUAGCUUGCUAAAGUUGGAAGAGUUGCGAACGGGUGAGUAACGCGUAGGUAACCUGCCUACUAGCGGGGGAUAACUAUUGGAAACGAUAGCUAAUACCGCAUAACAG
rnacentral:rRNA from 1 species